UGGGGAAUUUUGCACAAUGGGCGCAAGCCUGAUGCAGCGACGCCGCGUGAGGGAUGAAGGCCUUCGGGUUGUAAACCUUUUUCGCUCAUGGUCAAGCCGCAGCUUUGGGUUGUGGUGAGGGUAGUGGGUAAAGAAGCGCCGGCUAACUACGUGCCAGCAGCCGCGGUAAUACGUAGGGGGCGAGCGUUGUCCGGAAUUACUGGGCGUAAAGGGUUCGCAGGCGGCAUGGCAAGUCCGAUGUAAAAGGCGAAGGCUCAACCUUCGUAAGCAUCGGAAACUGUCAAGCUUGAGUGAAGGAGAGGCAAGUGGAAUUCCUAGUGUAGCGGUGGAAUGCGUAGAUAUUAGGAGGAAUACCGGUGGCGAAGGCGACUUGCUGGACUUCAACUGACGCUGAGGAACGAAAGCGUGGGUAGCAAACAGG
rnacentral:rRNA from 1 species